ACGGAAGGUCCUAGCGUUGUUCGGAAUUACUGGGCGUAAAGCGCAUGUAGGCGGAACAAAAAGUUAGAAGUGAAAUCCCUGGGCUCAACCUAGGAAUGGCUUUUAAAACUUUUGUUCUGGAAUUCAGGAGAGGAAAAUGGAAUUUCCAGUGUAGAGGUGAAAUUCGUAGAUAUUGGAAGGAACACCAGUGGCGAAGGCGAUUUUCUGGACUGAUAUUGACGCUGAGAUGCGAAGGCAUGGGUAGCAAACGGG
rnacentral:rRNA from 1 species